ensembl:lncRNA
GGAUCCAGUGGCCAUUCCGCUCUUCCCCCAGGGCGCCCCGAGUCUGGUAGUCAUUAAAAAGACAUAGCCCUUUAAAAGUGUGACACCGUCUUCCUUAAAGAGCCUGAAGCAAUGGCCCCAAAGAUAUCAGGACUCCACCUCUAGGACCUGAGACGGUGACCUUAUUGGGGAAAGAACUUUUUGUAGACUGUUGCCUUCAGAGCUCAGCCUUGCCUGAAAUCCAUCCACUCAAGAGCAGGUUCGCAAAGGGGAAAUGAAGGUCCACGGCAGAACGUGAAGAGGAAAAUGCUUUUCCAAACCCAGGCUGAGGGCUGAGCCACGAGGUUGCCUGAUCUUCCCAGGUCCUCAUUCCUGAAUCCUGAUGGCCCAGGCAGUGCCUCUCCACCCAGCCCCCCGCCUGCCCAGACUCUGCCUCGGAACUAGAAGACUCUUCAAAAGAAAAAAGGGUGAAGCGAGCCAUGAGCAGAGGCUGGAAACAAAUAGUCCCCCUUUAGAUGUAGGUCAGCACUUCUCCACUGGCCCAACGCACACCGUCCCCCGUCCAGGAGGCGUGUCUGUUCAGCGGCACUAGCACCUCGCCCCAGCCCCUGCCGAAGGCAUCAAGCGUGGGCGAGGUCAGCCUCAAAAAUGAUUCUCCAAACGCGUUGGAUCUCCAGAUGCCUUCCGCGUAGAAAGCUAGGAUUCAUUUAUGAACAACCCGAAUCCGUUUCCCUGUAGGAGCAAAGGAGAAGAACGUGUCGGCUCCUCCAGACGGGGACACGGAGAAGGGGGUGGCGUGAGGUCCCCUCUCAGAGGGGACGCGGGUCCUUUGGAAGAUGUGUCCUCGCCGUCUCCAGGGAACUGGAGGGGUGUCAGCUCCUCUGAAGCGAGUAUGCUGGUAAACGGAGAAUUUUCAAAGAAUUGGCUUUUUAAACAUUCAGUACCCAAUGCGUUGAUGGACAAGUUCCACGUCAACUCAGUUGAAACGGCCAGCCUCCGACUGUCGGGUUGCUUGAUGUGACAAACCCAGCUCUAUGGCUGUGGCUGUAGACGGAGACGCUCACGUGAUGUGGGGCGCGUGUUGGAUGCGGUGACUCUGCCACCUCUCGGUCUUUCGUAUCUGUCAGUCGUGGGUCACAUCUAUCCGUCUUUCAUCUCCCCAUGGCUCUAUCCCAUCUCCACUCUUCCAUCGCUCAGGAGCUGUGUAUCUAAUAUCAUCUGUCCACCCCCCGUCAUUGAUCUGCUCCAACAUCUCUCUACCACUGAUUGCAUCUGUAAGUCAUUCUUCUAUUUAUCUAUCAUUUUAUCUAUGUAUAUGUCGGUCCAUCCAGCCAAAAUAUCGAUUUAUCUAUCAACUGUCUGUCCAUCCAUCUUAUCUGUCUACCUAUUUUUCUAUCUUUUUAUCCACCUAUCUAUCCAUCUGUCCAUCUCUAUCUAUAAUCGCUGUAUCCAUCUGUAUGUCUGUCUGUCUGUCCAUCCAUCCAUCAUAUCUUUCUGUCUGUCUGUCUAUCUAUCAUCUAUCUGCGUCUAUCAUCUAUCCAAUCAAUCAUUCACAGACAACGCCCUCACUCAUUCUGCCGUUACCCUCGUUCUUCCGAUGAAAACCCACCUGAUGAAACCCUUAGUUACCUGAGGAAGGGCAUUGGUGUCGUGGGUCCAUAGACUACUCUGCGGUAACUCAGGCAGCGUUGUCAGUUUGGGUAUUUCAUUUUAUUCCCCCUUAUUAUUGUUGUGUAGAGUCCUUGCAGACACCUGUUGAGCACACGUUUGAAUGUGGGAAACACUUCUCUCUGAUGGAGCACGGGAGGUGAAUUGCAUAUGUGUGAGCUUCCUAGGCACAAGCAUCCUUGGACACUGGGGAUUUACAGGAUUGGCGGCUUCUGGGGAAGCUCAUAGGAGCCCACAUCAGUGGGCUGUUAACCUGGGACCAGAGCUUCUCCUCAUGGCUGCAUCAGGUCCCGUGUUUUGCUAUGGACGUAGUCGUCUGUUACCUCGGAUGUGUGUGAACUAUUUGACCUCCUCUGGAUGCUGUUCACACCGCAAUUCAUGUUGCCGUCACUCCCUCCAGGAGAUAAGAUGCAAAGGAAUCGGUUUCACCGUGGGACACAGCCCAGGGCUCAGAGCUCCACUGCCAUGGCAGAUAAAGAUCCAGAGAGGAAACAUCGGGGCUGUACCCGUGGACUCAAGGACUCAGCUCUGCCCUGCGGUGGGCACGCAGAUGGACAUAGCCUCGACAGGUGGACGUGGUUGUGGGCGCGUGACAUGGUACGUAUGUGGCUUUUCCGUGAUUUUCAAGUAUCGCAGAAUAUAGUUCUUUUGGACUUCUGUCCCAACCGUUUAAAAAAUGUAUAAUUAUUCUUAGCUCAUGUACAAAAACAGGCAAUUGGCAAGAUCUGAUCUAUAUAUAGGUCAUUGAUGGCCAUUAUCAAGUAUAGGUGACCUCACUUUGUCAGGCAAACAGAACCGAUACGAAAUCUGUCUAAUCUGCCUAGCUAUGUAGCUGUCUGUCUGUCUGCCUGCCUAUCAGUCGAUUGAUUUAUCAUUCCAGCUCUUGGUCUAUAUAUAUGUCUCUUUUUCUUUUUUUUCUUUUCUUUCUUUCUUUUUUUUUUUUUUUUUUUU